rnacentral:rRNA from 1 species
GACGAACGCUGGCGGCGUGCCUAAUACAUGCAGGUCGAACGCUUCUUUCCUCCCGAGUGCUUGCACUCAAUUGGAAAGAGGAGUGGCGGACGGGUGAGUAACACGUGGGUAACCUACCCAUCAGAGGGGGAUAACACUUGGAAACAGGUGCUAAUACCGCAUAACAGUUUAUGCCGCAUGGCAUAAGAGUGAAAGGCGCUUUCGGGUGUCGCUGAUGGAUGGACCCGCGGUGCAUUAGCUAGUUGGUGAGGUAACGGCUCACCAAGGCCACGAUGCAUAGCCGACCUGAGAGGGUGAUCGGCCACACUGGGACUGAGACACGGCCCAGACUCCUACGGGAGGCAGCAGUAGGGAAUCUUCGGCAAUGGACGAAAGUCUGACCGAGCAACGCCGCGUGAGUGAAGAAGGUGUUCGGAUCGUAAAACUCUGUUGUUAGAGAAGAACAAGGACGUUAGUAACUGAACGUCCCCUGACGGUAUCUAACCAGAAAGACACGGCUAACUACGUG